AUAAUUAAAACAUAUGAGGUCAAUGGGCGAUCAAAAAGGCCCAUAGCCUAGGCGGUGACCUCCAUUUCACUUUGGAGGAGUGCCUUCCUAAAGACGAUCCAAGUGGUCGAUCCUACAUCAUAAUUUGUGACAGCGGGGGCCUGCAUUUGCACGGCCUCU
rnacentral:snRNA from 1 species